AUUGAACGCUGGCGGCAUGCCUUACACAUGCAAGUCGAACGGUAACAGGCCGCAAGGUGCUGACGAGUGGCGAACGGGUGAGUAAUGCAUCGGAACGUGCCCAGUCGUGGGGGAUAACUGCUCGAAAGAGCAGCUAAUACCGCAUACGACCUGAGGGUGAAAGCGGGGGACCGUAAGGCCUCGCGCGAUUGGAGCGGCCGAUGUCAGAUUAGCUGGUUGGUGGGGUAAAGGCCUACCAAGGCAACGAACUGUAGUUGGUCUGAGAGGACGACCAGCCACACUGGGACUGAGACACAGCCCAGACUCCUACGGGAGGAAGCAGUGGGGAAUUUUGGACAAUGGGCGCAAGCCUGAUCCAGCAAUGCCGCGUGCAGGAAGAAGGCCUUCGGGUUGUAAACUGCUUUUGUCAGGGAAGAAAUCUUCUGGGCUAAUACCCCGGGAGGAUGACGGUACCUGAAGAAUAAGCACCGGCUAACUACGUGCCAGCCGCCGCCGUAAGAC
rnacentral:rRNA from 1 species